rnacentral:rRNA from 1 species
ACACGGAGGGCGCAAGCGUUGCUCGGAAUCACUGGGCGUAAAGCGGGUGUAGGCGGUCUAGCAAGUCAGAUGUGAAAGCCCACGGCUCAACCGUGGAAGUGCAUCUGAAACUGCUAGACUUGAGUGCCGGAGAGGGAAGUGGAAUUCCUGGUGUAGGGGUGAAAUCCGUAGAUAUCAGGAGGAACACCGGUGGCGAAGGCGACUUCCUGGACGGCCACUGACGCUGAGACCCGAAAGCGUGGGGAGCAAACAGGAUUAGAAACCCUUGUAGUCC